rnacentral:rRNA from 1 species
UGCCAGCAGCCGCGGUAAUACGGAGGGUGCGAGCGUUAAUCGGAAUCACUGGGCGUAAAGCGCACGUAGGCGGAUCGGAAAGUUGGGGGUGAAAUCCCGGGGCUCAACCCCGGAACUGCCUCCAAAACUAUCGGUCUAGAGUUCGAGAGAGGUGAGUGGAAUUCCGAGUGUAGAGGUGAAAUUCGUAGAUAUUCGGAGGAACACCAGUGGCGAAGGCGGCUCACUGGCUCGAUACUGACGCUGAGGUGCGAAAGCGUGGGGAGCAAACAGGAUUAGAUA